UACGUAGGUGGCAAGCGUUAUCCGGAAUUAGUGGGCGUAAAGCGCGCGUAGGCGGUUUUUUAAGUCUGAUGUGAAAGCCCACGGCUCAACCGUGGAGGGUCAUUGGAAACUGGAAAACUUGAGUGCAGAAGAGGAAAGUGGAAUUCCAUGUGUAGCGGUGAAAUGCGCAGAGAUAUGGAGGAACACCAGUGGCGAAGGCGACUUUCUGGUCUNGUAACUGACGCUGAUGUGCGAAAGCGUGGGGAUCAAACAGGAUUAGAUA
rnacentral:rRNA from 1 species